rnacentral:hammerhead_ribozyme from 1 species
AUCUAGCUGAUGAAUCCCAAAUAGGACGAAACGCGCAUUCUGGAU